GACGAACCGUGCAAACGUUGUUCGGAAUCACUGGGCUUAAAGGGCGCGUAGGCGGGUGGUCAAGUCAGGGGUGAAAUCCUCCCGCUCAACGGGAGAAUAGCUUUUGAUACUGGCCAUCUUGAGGGGGGUAGGGGCAUGUGGAACUUCCGGUGGAGCGGUGAAAUGCGUAGAUAUCGGAAGGAACGCCGGUGGCGAAAGCGACGUGCUGGACCCUUUCUGACGCUGAGGCGCGAAAGCCAGGGGAGCAAACGGG
rnacentral:rRNA from 1 species